GCAGGCUCUGCUUUUCUCCUUUACAGCAUCUGCUUUCUCAUAGGUGCCCAUGGUCUUAAUCAUGCUGACAAGACUAAAGCUUUGUUCCUGGUAUAUAAUCCCAGAAAGGAAGAGAGGAAACAACAUUACUUCACAUUGCACACUGACCAGCACAUCUACAGGCAGGCCGACAAAAAGACUGAAGGUAGAUACUGAAGAAGAUUGUAUGUUGCAGGGACUGGAAAGCUUAUUGGACUGGGAUGGAACUUCCUUUCAGUUCUCCACUGUGAGAAGACGAGCUCAGAAUUGGCAUCUGCUGACUUUGUUUUUAUUGUGAGGUAGGAUGAUGAACAGUUUGAAAGAGGCUUUCAACUUUUGCACAGAUCUGUGUGGGCUGGGCAGCCUGUUUCCUCUUGCAGGAUUUGCAUUAGUGUAAACAGUGACAUCAUGUUACUUAUGUCCUUUGGUUCAUGAUGAGGUUCCACAGAGAGCCUUCCUCCACUACUUUCAAUUUUCAGGAUCAGCAUUUACUACAGCCCUUCCUGGUUCUCUUAUGUUGCAACCUUAGCAGUUGGCAGUGUGAACUAUAGCCUUCAUUGCUCACCACCUUGCAGGCAAUGUCUGGCUAUGAGAUCUUCUCACAUUACUUCUUCCAUAUGAGAUUUUACGGUAAAAAGACCAGGCUAACCAAAGGAGAGCAAGUGAUGGCCUGCAGUGAGUUACACAUUCAGUAUUGUUGCCCAAAGGCCAAGACUGUUGAAGAAAAACAGCUGUAACUGCAUCUGGCCUAUGAGGCUCCAGUGCUGAGCAGUAAGCAGUAAGUAAGCCUUCUAACAGGACUUUAAUUCAAAGGAGCCUCACUGAAAGGUAUCCUGUUGUCAGAUGCAAGAGCCUAAAGUAGUCUCAUCAGGCAUGUUUUCUUUGCAUGGCAUUGUGUAAAUCAUUUUGCCUUAUACCUCUAUUUCCCCUUCUGUAAAAUAUAAAGUAUUGAUGCAUUUACAGCAUCAGUAAUUGCAGCACUGUAAGAGUUAAUUAAUGUGCCUAUUUAUAUAAGCAUAUUAGACUGUGGCACAUACACAGUUUCAUGCAUUUUUUUUUCUGAUAAUUAGAUCAGAUACAUGAUUUAUUCAGCUCUCUAGAGAUUUAAUUAUCUUUCACAUGAGCUCUAUAUCUUAGUUUUGUAGCACAGUAAAGGUGAUGUUUUAUUUUUCUGCAACUCAUUUACAAAGAUAUACUUUUCAUAGCGGUAGUACCUUACAAAACUCCGUGUGCUAAACUGUAACAUAAGACAGCUAGCUACUCAGUUAAAUUCUUUCAAGCCAAAUACAGUUUCUGUCUUUCGGAAGAGAGAAGGGGAGGAAGGGGGAUUCUUACACUAAUAGUUUUUCCAUUUGUACUGGAACAUUCUUAUGCAGAAGCCAGACCUCUAAGCACUAUUUUUUGAUAAAAUCUGUCAGUCACUGCAAUUGUUUUUUACCUGCACAGUAGUAUGUGAAGUCCUAUAAAGCUUCGGUGAUUACAUGUAGUGCAAAUGGUAGACUAACUACUAUAAUAAACAUGUUUGUUCACUAAGGCUACUGAAAGA